ACGUACGGGCGAGAAGAGCGGCGCGGGGUGCGGGGUAAAGUAGGAGCUCCCCCUCCCCUCCCGAUCCCAGCCGUCAUCGGGCGAACGACCCCGGCAACGCUCGAUCCGGUACUGCCCCGGCCGGCGCCCUCGCCUCCCGAUCCCAGCCGCCAAGAGGCGACCGAACCCAAUAACCCUGGAUCCGGCAAUACGCCGGCCGCGAGUCGACGCGACGGCAGGCGGCGGAGCAACCUCGACGACGGAGGGCGGCGCUGGAAAAUACACCCCUCGGUACAAGUGGUUUGAAUCCGAGUUCCCCAAGGUGAACAGGAGGGAGACGCCAUAGCUGAUCGUUCUGAUGCACGCCCCGUGGGCAUGUCCACGCUUACGAACGGAUGUCUACUGUCUCUUCAACCGCGCUAGGGGAACAGGUUUGUUUUUUUGCUGAUGAAUAUCUGUACGAAAUUCCCUUGUCACUUGUGUUCUGAAAUUGAUUUUUUGUUUGUUCUAGAGUUGAUCUCAUUAGAGGAUCUUUUGCAAGCUUGCUCCCUUUGGGAGAAAUUUGAUGUAUGUUGAUUUGUAAUAAGCAGCCCAGUAAUGCUCCGGAAAUUUGAUAGUGGAGUGAAGGUGAUCCAAACCAAGACGCAUAGUGAUGAUGAGGUAUGUCGUGGCAAUGAUAAGUCCAGAUGUCAUUUUAGAUUCA